rnacentral:rRNA from 1 species
AGAGUUUGAUCAUGGCUCAGGAUGAACGCUGGCGGCGUGCUUAACACAUGCAAGUCGAACGAACCUUCGGGUUAGUGGCGGACGGGUGAGUAACGCGUGAGAAUCUGCCCUCAGGAGGGGGACAACAGUUGGAAACGACUGCUAAUACCCCAUAUGCCGCGAGGUGAAAUGAAUUUCGCCUGAGGAUGAGCUCGCGUCUGAUUAGCUAGUUGGUGUAGGUAAUGGCUCACCAAGGCAUCGAUCAGUAGCUGGUCUGAGAGGAUGAUCAGCCACACUGGGACUGAGACACGGCCCAGACUCCUACGGGAGGCAGCAGUGGGGAAUUUUCCGCAAUGGGCGAAAGCCUGACGGAGCAACGCCGCGUGAGGGAUGAAGGCCUCUGGGCUGUAAACCUCUUUUAUCAAGGAAGAAGAUCUGACGGUACUUGAUGAAUAAGCCACGGCUAAUUCCGUGCCAGCAGCCGCGGUAAUACGGGAGUGGCAAGCGUUAUCCGGAAUUAUUGGGCGUAAAGCGUCCGCAGGCGGCCCUUCAAGUCUGCUGUUAAAAAGUGGAGCUUAACUCCAUCAUGGCAGUGGAAACUGUUGGGCUUGAGUGUGGUAGGGGCAGAGGGAAUUCCCGAUGUAGCGGUGAAAUGCGUAGAUAUCGGGAAGAACACCAGUGGCGAAGGCGCUCUGCUGGGCCAUCACUGACGCUCAUGGACGAAAGCCAGGGGAGCGAAAGGGAUUAGAUACCCCUGUAGUCCUGGCCGUAAACGAUGAACACUAGGUGUCGGGGGAAUCGACCCCCUCGGUGUCGUAGCCAACGCGUUAAGUGUUCCGCCUGGGGAGUACGCACGCAAGUGUGAAACUCAAAGGAAUUGACGGGGGCCCGCACAAGCGGUGGAGAAUGUGGUUUAAUUCGAUGCAACGCGAAGAACCUUACCAGGGUUUGACAUCCUGCGAAUCUCUUGGAAACAGGAGAGUGCCUUCGGGAACGCAGUGACAGGUGGUGCAUGGCUGUCGUCAGCUCGUGUCGUGAGAUGUUGGGUUAAGUCCCGCAACGAGCGCAACCCACGUCUUUAGUUGCCAGCAUUUAGUUGGGCACUCUAGAGAGACUGCCGGUGAUAAACCGGAGGAAGGUGUGGAUGACGUCAAGUCAUCAUGCCCCUUACAUCCUGGGCUACACACGUACUACAAUGCUACGGACAAAGGGCAGCAAGUUCGCGAGGACAAGCAAAUCCCAUAAACCGUGGCUCAGUUCACAUCGUAGGCUGCAACUCGCCUACGUGAAGGCGGAAUCGCUAGUAAUCGCAGGUCAGCAUACUGCGGUGAAUACGUUCCCGGGCCUUGUAGA